UCAGGCCUAACACAUGCAAGUCGUACGAGGUGUAAAUAAUUCACUUGUGAAUUGUUUAUUACUACAGUGGCGCACGGGUGAGUAACACGUAAGAACCUGCCUUUUGGAGGGGGAUAACAUAGGGAAACCUUUGCUAAUACCCCAUAAAGCUGAGGAGCUAAAUCGCAUUUGCGGCCAAGAGAGGGGCUUGCGCCUGAUUAGCUAGUUGGGGAGGUAAUGGCUUCCCAAGGCCACGAUCAGUAGUUGGUCUGAGAGGAUGAUCAGCCACACUGGGACUGAGACACGGCCCAGACUCCUACGGGAGGCAGCAGUGAGGAAUUUUCCGCAAUGGGCGAAAGCCUGACGGAGCAAUACCGCGUGAAGGAAGAGGGAUCGUGGUCUGUAAACUUCUUUUCUCGAGAAGAAGAU
rnacentral:rRNA from 1 species